rnacentral:rRNA from 1 species
CCUGGUCGCAUGACCUGGAACCAAAGGCCGGGCAACCGGUCACUGAAGGAUGGGCCUGCGUCUGAUUAGCUAGUUGGUGGGGUAACGGCCCACCAAGGCGACGAUCAGUAGCCGGUCUGAGAGGAUGAACGGCCACAUUGGGACUGAGACACGGCCCAAACUCCUACGGGAGGCAGCAGUGGGGAAUCUUCCGCAAUGGGCGCAAGCCUGACGGAGCAACGCCGCGUGAGUGAAGAAGGUUUUCGGAUCGUAAAGCUCUGUUGAGAGGGACGAGAGAUAUAAUCAGGAAAUGGGUUAUAGAGGACGGUACCUUUCGAGGAAGCCACGGCUAACUACGUG